UACGUAGGGUGCAAGCGUUGUCCGGAAUUAUUGGGCGUAAGGAGCUCGUAGGCGGUGUGUCGCGUCGGCCGUGAAAACCUGCAGCUUAACUGUGGGCUUGCGGUCGAUACGGGCAUCACUGGAGUUCGGCAGGGGAGACUGGAAUUCCUGGUGUAGCGGUGAAAUGCGCAGAUAUCAGGAGGAACACCGGUGGCGAAGGCGGGUCUCUGGGCCGAUACUGACGCUGAGGAGCGAAAGCGUGGGGAGCGAACAGG
rnacentral:rRNA from 1 species